AUGAUGAGGUUAUUUCUAACGCUGUAUGGAAGAAGAGAUGAGGCGAUCGGAGUAGCCAUGGCUGCGGAAGAAGAGUUGGUGUUGUUUAGGGUGGAAUUGGCAAGGAGGAAGGUGACGAUCGGAGAGGAGGUUUAUGCGUUGCUGUUGUUUCGCAGGAGAAGAGAAAAUCAUAAAUGCUGCUGA